rnacentral:rRNA from 1 species
AGGACGAACGCUGGCGGCGUGCUUAACACAUGCAAGUCGAGCGGAAAGGCCCUUUCGGGGGUACUCGAGCGGCGAACGGGUGAGUAACACGUGAGUAACCUGCCCUGGACUUUGGGAUAACCCUCGGAAACGGGGGCUAAUACCGGAUAUGACCUGGUUCUGCAUGGAGCUGGGUGGAAAGUUUUUCGGUCUGGGAUGGGCUCGCGGCCUAUCAGCUUGUUGGUGGGGUGAUGGCCUACCAAGGCGACGACGGGUAGCCGGCCUGAGAGGGCGACCGGCCACACUGGGACUGAGACACGGCCCAGACUCCUACGGGAGGCAGCAGUGGGGAAUAUUGCACAAUGGGCGGAAGCCUGAUGCAGCGACGCCGCGUGAGGGAUGACGGCCUUCGGGUUGUAAACCGUCUUUCAGCACCGACGAAGCGGAAGUGACGGUAGGUGCAGAAGAAGCGCCGGCCAACUACGUGCCAGCAGCCGC